AUUGAACGCUGGCGGCAGGCCUAACACAUGCAAGUCGAGCGGCAGCGACUUAACUGAACCUUCGGGGAACGUUAAGGGCGGCGAGCGGCGGACGGGUGAGUAAUGCCUGGGAAUAUGCCCUGAUGUGGGGGAUAACUAUUGGAAACGAUAGCUAAUACCGCAUAAUCUCUUCGGAGCAAAGAGGGGGACCUUCGGGCCUCUCGCGUCAGGAUUAGCCCAGGUGGGAUUAGCUUGUUGGUGAGGUAAUGGCUCACCAAGGCAACGAUCCCUAGCUGGUCUGAGAGGAUGAUCAGCCACACUGGAACUGAGACACGGUCCAGACUCCUACGGGAGGCAGCAGUGGGGAAUAUUGCACAAUGGGGGAAACCCUGAUGCAGCCAUGCCGCGUGUGUGAAGAAGGCCUUCGGGUUGUAAAGCACUUUCAGUAGGGAGGAAGGUAGUGUAGUUAACACCUGCACUAUUUGACGUUACCUACAGAAGAAGCACCGGCUAACUCCGUGCCAGCAGCCGCGGUAAUACGGAGGGUGCGAGCGUUAAUCGGAAUUACUGGGCGUAAAGCGCAUGCAGGCGGCCUGUUAAGUCAGAUGUGAAAGCCCGGGGCUUAACCUCGGAAUUGCAUUUGAAACUGGCAGGCUAGAGUCUUGUAGAGGGGGGUAGAAUUUCAGUGUAGCGGUGAAAUGCGUAGAGAUCUGAAGGAAUACCAGUGGCGAAGGCGGCCCCCUGGACAAAGACUGACGCUCAGAUUGCGAAAGCGUGGGGAGCAAACAGG
rnacentral:rRNA from 1 species